UAAUGCUUUAUUUCAAAUUCA
rnacentral:piRNA from 1 species